UCCAAGUUCAGACAGAGGGGGGAGGCAGAUCGCUAUGAUCGCCAGGAACUUUAGUUUUAGUGUCUUUUUUUAAUUGUUGCGCUACUGGUGCUGCCUGUUGAUGUUAGGUAGGCAGCUACAGUAGCUGAAUGAUGUUAACAUCUUCGAGUUUUGUUUCAUUAAAUGUAUUUUAUUUCAUCUGGGUGCUUGUGUCACCUACUAACACCCUGGUACUACCCGUAGCUCCCGUUCUCCUCAGUCGGAGAAAACACAGAGAGAAAGAACAACUUGCCAGAUGGUGCAUUGGAGACUGAUGUGUUCCUGUCCUGUCUUUUCACAAUACUAUUGCAGAUCAACAUAAAAGCCUAAAAGACAGCCGUGGUAUCGCUCUUCAUUUCUUGGUUCUCCUGUGGUACAUAAGAAACCCGCUACAUAAGCACGAUUGAAUAUAACACCAUAAAAGAUGUAGCCUGGCAAAAGCAACUGACAUGGGCUGCACGUCAUCCAGGCUACCCAUCAGAGGACCCAGAGGACUUGCAGGUGACCAAGCGUUUCCAGGCCUUCUGGACUCCCCAGAAGAAGUCCCGGAUGCCUUUCCUCAUCUUGGAUAAUUUAACUGGCAAGAAGAUGAAAAUAUGUAAGAAUUUCAGAUGGACAAUUGUCUGAUAAAACAAUAAUUUAUUACUUCUAUAUAUAUAUAUAUAUAUAAUUGUCCCAUAAGAACAUUUCCCCCCAGGAAUACUCACUCAUAGGUGGAGAAUCCACAGCAAUGUACAUCUCUGGCUGGUUUGUAGUGUCUGUAAGGACGAUGCUCACGUUGGACUGUGAUCAGAAUUCAAGAAUGCACAAUUAAACUUCAAUUUCACUUCCUUUA